rnacentral:rRNA from 1 species
GACGAACCGUACGAACGUUAUUCGGAAUCACUGGGCUUAAAGGGUGCGUAGGCGGCGCAGCAAGUUGGGUGUGAAAUCCCUCGGCUUAACCGAGGAACUGCGCCCAAAACUGCUGUGCUCGAGGGAGACAGAGGUGAGCGGAACUUAGGGUGGAGCGGUGAAAUGCGUUGAUAUCCUAAGGAACACCGGUGGCGAAAGCGGCUCACUGGGUCUCUUCUGACGCUGAGGCACGAAAGCUAGGGGAGCGAACGGG